AGCUACAUCUGGCUACUGGGUCUCU
rnacentral:ncRNA from 7 species